GACGAACGCUGGCGGCGUGCUUAACACAUGCAAGUCGAACGGUGAAGCGCCUUCCUUUUUGGUGGGUGUGGAUGAGUGGCGAACGGGUGAGUAACACGUGAGUAACCUGCCCCCUUCUUCUGGAUAACCGCAUGAAAGUGUGGCUAAUACGGGAUAUUCUGGGUCUGUCGCAUGAUGGGUCUGGGAAAGAUAUUGUUUCGGUGGGGGAUGGGCUCGCGGCCUAUCAGCUUGUUGGUGGGGUGAUGGCCUACCAAGGCGGUGACGGGUAGCCGGCCUGAGAGGGUGGACGGUCACACUGGGACUGAGACACGGCCCAGACUCCUACGGGAGGCAGCAGUGGGGAAUAGUGCACAAUGGGCGCAAGCCUGAUGCAGCGACGCCGCGGGAGGGAUGGAGGCCUGCGGGUUGUGAACCUCUUUCGCCAGUGAAGCAGGCCUGCCUCGUUUGUGGGUGGGUUGACGGUAGCUGGAGAAGAAGCGCCGGCUAACUACGUG
rnacentral:rRNA from 1 species